UACAGAGGGUGCGAGCGUUAAUCGGAAUUACUGGGCGUAAAGGGUGCGUAGGUGGUUUGGUAAGUUAGAUGUGAAAUUCCUGGGCUUAACCUGGGGACUGCGUCUGAUACUGCUAGGCUAGAGUAUUGUAGAGGGAAGUGGAAUUUCCGGUGUAGCAGUGAAAUGCGUAGAUAUCGGAAGGAACAUCAGUGGCGAAGGCGACUUCCUGGACAGAUACUGACACUGAGGCACGAAAGCGUGGGGAGCAAACAGG
rnacentral:rRNA from 1 species